CUACGGGGGGCAGCAGUAGGGAAUUUUCGGCAAUGGGCGAAAGCCUGACCGAGCAAUGCCGCGUGAACGAUGAAGGCCUUCGAGUUGUAAAGUUCUGUUAUCAGGGAAGAACAUACGGAUUAGGAAAUGACUCCGUACUGACGGUACCUGAUCAGAAAGCUCCGGCUAACUACGUGCCAGCAGCCGCGGUAAUACGUAGGGAGCAAGCGUUAUCCGGAAUUAUUGGGCGUAAAGCGUGCGUAGGCGGUUCGUUAAGUCAAAUCUGAAAGCCCACAGCUUAACUGUGGAGGGCGAUUUGAAACUGGCGAACUUGAGUACGGCAGAGGUUAGUGGAAUUCAAUGUGUAGCGGUGGAAUGCGUAGAUAUAUUGAGGAACACCAGUGGCGAAGGCGGCUAACUGGACCGGAACUGACGCUGAGGCACGAAAACGUGGGGAGCAAACAGGAUUAGAUACCUCCGUAGUC
rnacentral:rRNA from 1 species